UACGUAGGGUGCAAGCGUUAAUCGGAAUUACUGGGCGUAAAGGGCUCGUAGGCGGCCAACUAAGUCGGAUGUGAAAUCCCCAGGCUCAACUUGGGAACUGCAUCCGAUACUGGAUGGCUUGAAUUCGGGAGAGGGAUGCAGAAUUCCAGGUGUAGCGGUGAAAUGCGUAGAUAUCUGGAGGAAUACCGGUGGCGAAGGCGGCAUCCUGGACCGACAUUGACGCUGAGGAGCGAAAGCUAGGGGAGCAAACGGG
rnacentral:rRNA from 1 species